rnacentral:sRNA from 1 species
UUUUGGAGUUCAUCCUUCAUACAGCUUAUUGUUGGGACUGUGCCCUCUACGUAAGCAGCACUAAAUUCAAAUCCUUGUUCCCUUCACCCGUUGAGACUGUUACUUUCUCUGUGGGCUCCAUUUUCUCGUGUCCUAGUUUGGAAAGUGCCCCCAGGCAGAAAGUCAGGGUAAAUAUAGCUCUUACCACCAUGUAUUUUCCUUCUUUUAAGAAUCACAGACUUAUGGUGUCUGUGGUGCAUUGCCUCCAAACAGUUGCUUUAGUUUGUACACAGACAAACAUGCAGACAUAUAUAUGUUUACAUGUAGAUAGUUGUUUAUACAGAAGGGUAAGUCCAAUUUCUGUUAUUUAAAAAUGGCCAGGUGUAGUGGCUCACAUCUGUAAUCCCAGCACCUUGGGAGGCUUAGGCGGGCAGAUCACCUGGGGUCAGGAACUCCUGAUGUCAGGAAACCUCAUGAGAUGGUGAAACCCCAUCUCUACUGAAAAUAGAAGAAUUAGCCAGGCGUGGUGGCAGGCACCUGUAGUCCCAGCUACUCGGGAGGCUGAGGCAAGAGAAUAGCUUGACUCUGGAGGUGGAGGUUGUAGUGAGCUGAGAUUGCGCCACUGCACUCCAGCCUGGGUGACAGAGUGUGAGACUCCAUCUCAAAAAAAAAAAAUAAUAAUAAUAUAUUAUUUUCACAUUUUAUGUAAUGUGAAAUGCAGCUCUAGACCUGCUUGCCAGUGUUUCUGGUUGUCACAAAAACAAACUUUAGCUCAUCUCUGUUUCAAAAGACUAAAGAGGUUCUUUAUGAGUUAUAGUAGUAGUUCUUGAAUUCAGAUGUUUUUUAAUUAUGUUAAGUAAGUCAUUAAUGACCAAGGACUUUUUAUUUUAGAUUAUUUUUUAAAGUAGAUACUAUAUUUUAUGGAAUGUCUUCUAAACUUUUAUUGAAAAAUUUAUGACAUACUGUUUUUGUUUAAUGUGAUGAAUUAUGUCAGUACUUUGUAUUUGCUUUUUACAAAUCUUGUUUUUAGGAAUAAGGACAACAGGAUCCUAUGUGAAAGUGCUUUUUAAAAAUAUUUUGUUUGCUACGAUUGUAUUUAGGAAUUUUGCAUCUCUAUGAUGCAAGUAUGAGUGUUUAAAAAAAUUUGGGGGGCUUUUAAUCACAUUAGAUUUUAGAAUUUUUUAAUUUUAAAUACUUUAUGAGGAAGUAAUAAACCCUCCUUUUCUAUGUUUGAGAAUAUUUUAUAGAAAAGAAGUUACUCUUUGGAUAUUUUGAAUAACUGAAGUCAGUAUGACUAGGCCAAAUAAAAUACAUAUUUAGCAAAAUAUAUCAGAUUACUGAACGCCAUUGUGACAUUUAAUUGAACAGAAGUCAUUUGUUCUUUUUAGAUAAUUUUUAGGUAGUUUUUCUUAGUUCAUCUCUGCCGUGAAGCUGUAGCUUAAACUGUCUCAAAACAGAGUCUACAGCGUAGAGAAAAUUGUUAAAGGUUUUACUUAGUCAAUUAUUUUUGAUGAAUUUUUUAAAAUCUCUUUUAUACAAAAAGAACUGCUUAAUUUCCUGAUUCCAAACAAGAAUUAAGUAGAGAUGUUAGGAAGAUCCCAGUUUGUUAUUUACUUUUGGUAAGCAUAACAAAGGGGUACUCUUGUAGUCAAAAAAUAACAUUUUUUGUCUUCUUUCCCCUCUUCUUUCUCCCUCCCCCGUCUCAUAUUCAAACUUGUCAUUACAUUUCUGAGAUCAACCCUUUGAGAUGUUGAGUUUGUACAUACCUGUUAUAUAUUUUGCAGUUGACAAAUUACAAUUUGAACCUCCUCUGAGAAAAGAAACAGAAGCACGAGAUGAAAUGGGAUUGUCAUCAGACCCAAAUUUCAUGUUACAGUGGAAUCCUUUUGUUGAUGGUGCAAAUACUGGCAAAUCAACCUCAAAACGUGCAAUACCACCUCCCCUGCCACCUAAGCCAAGGAUAAGCAGUUACCCUGAAGACAACUUUCCGGAUGAAGAAAAAGCAUCAACCAUAAAACAUUGUCCUGAUUCAGAGAACAGAGCUCCCCAAAUUCUCAGAAGACAGAGUAGCCCAAGUUGUGGGCCUGUGGCAGAGACUUCCUCUAUUGGAAAUGGUGAUGGUAUUUCAAAACUGAUGAGUGAAAAUACAGAAGGAUCAGCACAAGCACCACAGUUACCACGAAAAAAGGACAAACGAGACUUCCCUAAACCAGCCAUCAAUGGCCUUCCACCCACCCCAAAAGUUCUGAUGGGAGCAUGCUUUUCAAAAGUUUUUGAUGGCUGUCCUUUGAAAAUUAAUUGUGCAACAUCCUGGAUACAUCCUGAUACAAAAGAUCAGUACAUUAUUUUUGGAACUGAAGAUGGUAUUUACACACUGAAUCUCAAUGAGCUACAUGAGGCAACGAUGGAACAGUUAUUUCCACGGAAGUGUACUUGGCUGUAUGUUAUCAAUAAUACUUUAAUGUCAUUAUCAGUAGGAAAAACCUUUCAGCUCUACUCUCACAAUCUUAUAGCUUUGUUUGAACAUGCCAAAAAACCAGGAUUAGCUGCCCAUAUUCAAACUCACAGGUUUCCAGACCGAAUACUACCAAGAAAAUUCGCUUUAACAACAAAGAUUCCUGAUACAAAGGGCUGCCACAAAUGUUGCAUAGUCAGAAACCCUUACACGGGACAUAAAUACCUCUGUGGAGCUUUACAGUCUGGAAUUGUUUUACUUCAGUGGUAUGAGCCAAUGCAGAAAUUCAUGUUGAUAAAGCACUUUGAUUUUCCUUUGCCAAGUCCUUUGAAUGUUUUUGAAAUGCUGGUGAUACCAGAACAGGAAUACCCUAUGGUCUGUGUAGCUAUUAGCAAAGGCACUGAAUUGAAUCAGGUAGUUCAGUUUGAGACAAUCAAUUUGAACUCUGCAUCUUCAUGGUUUACAGAAAUUGGUGCAGGCAGCCAGCAGUUAGAUUCCAUUCAUGUAACACAGUUGGAGAGAGAUACCGUUUUAGUGUGUUUAGACAAAUUUGUAAAAAUUGUAAAUCUACAAGGAAAAUUAAAAUCAAGUAAGAAACUGGCCUCUGAGUUAAGUUUUGAUUUUCGCAUUGAAUCUGUAGUAUGCCUUCAAGACAGUGUGUUGGCUUUCUGGAAACAUGGGAUGCAGGGUAAAAGCUUCAAGUCAGAUGAGGUUACCCAGGAGAUUUCAGAUGAAACAAGAGUUUUCCGCUUAUUAGGAUCAGACAGGGUUGUCGUUUUGGAAAGUAGGCCAACAGAAAAUCCUACUGCACACAGCAAUCUCUACAUCUUGGCUGGACAUGAAAAUAGUUACUAAGCAACAGAAACUGAUCUCAAAUGACAGGAAAAUGAAUAUACUCCAUUGAAAGGAAAAAUAAGGAAAUUCAAUACAAACUGCACUAUGAUUUGCUUUAACUGUUAUGGGUUAUAUUGCAAAUGAUCUGUACUUUAGGGUAGAAUUCAAUAUUUUCUGCAGCUGGAAACAGCUAGUCUAUCUCUUGCCACUGUGUGGUGGUUAUAUCAAGUUUGCUUAAUAAAAGCUAUGAGACAAAUAGUCCUCUAGUUCCAGGAAACACAGUCUUUUUUAAAAAAAAAAAAUAAUGUUUGUAACAAGGGUGCCAUGGUGUUUUUAGAUAACUCGUGAUUAUCUUAAGAGAGGUAAAUUUAGUGAUCAUUUUAUACCAUGUCUUAUUCCUUCUUAAUGAACAUAAUUUGAUAAAUUCUCAAGCAAGGUUUUCACUUUUAUAUUGGCCAUUCUGUAUGUUUUUGUAAAAUAGAAUAUUUAAUCCUUAUUUAUUAAUCUCUUGCUGGAGUGGUGUAAUGUAUCUAACUUUUAGCAAAGGAGGGUUGCAGAGCAGCUUAAAUUUUUUUAUAAUGUAUAAGAAUUUUGUUUAUCUUUUAAGAGUAGUGAAGUACUUUGAGUGUUGGGGGUUCAACACACACAUGCAAUUUUGCUUAACAAAAGUAUUUUAUAAUACAGUUUCAUACAGAAUUACCUUAAAAGGGAGUCUUAUGUUUUCAACUACAGAUAGUUGUAAGGGAUCAUACAGAAGAUAUUGAUGAUAGUUGAAAUAUUCUUAGAAGGGGUGUGUAUGUCUAGGUGUGUCUACCAUGUGUAUGUAUUCUUGACAAGCAGUAUAAAAUACCUGUGAUUUUUCUUUACAUUAGGGAUAAUGCAUAAAGAAUUAAUCUUCAUAUAUAUUAUCAUCCCUAAUGUAGCAGGGGGAAGUAUUUAAUUGCCCAUAUGUAUUUUACUUAUACUAUGCCAGAGAGGAAACUAUAAAGUAAUUACACAUGUAAUCUUGGGUUUUUCACAUAUGUAGGUAUUCAUUUUGAGUAGUUUAAGAAAAAAAAAAUCUUUAAAUGAAUUGAAUUCCUGAUGGGAUAGUAUCAAUAAGUAUUUAAAAGCCAGUAUUCUAAAAAUAAUAAAGGGUAGGGUUAUUUUUGAGUUUGUUUUUCUUUUGCUAUUGUUAAUAUUCAAAAUUAAAGUGUUACAUUGGUACCUGUUGUCUUAAUGCAUUUAUUGAGAACAGCAUUGAGAUGAUGAACAAGGGGUUAGCAAUAGCAAACUCUAUAAUUAUUUUGACUAAUUACUUAAGAGGAAAACAGUAUAAGUAUCUCAUUCAGUAUUUAGCAAUUCUGUAAAAUAAGUAUUAUCUCUAUUUUUCAGAUGAGGAAAUAAGGGUUUAGCAAGGUUAAGAGACCUACCCAAUUUACACAGCAGGUUAGUAGUUGAGCCUGACCAUGAGUCUUCUGACUCUGUUCUUUUCACUGUGCAAUACGCAAACAAUAAAAUGUUAUACAAAUGGAAUAUAAAGUUAUUUAUUCUUU